ensembl:lncRNA
GGCCACCUCCUCUUAUUAUCUCAUGCUGUUUAGUUUCACUUUCUCUUUGCUAUUAAAACAGAUCACUUCAAACCACAACUGCAAUACAGUCGAUAGAUAAUAAUCCUACAGCUGCAGAGAAUAAAACAGUACACUUGGUUAAGUGGAAACUGGUAGUGCAGAAUUGAAUGGAAUGUUUUUUAGGUGAGUAAUUCUAUGAAUGUAGAAUAGAACAGAGGCAGUAAGUACAUUUACAAUAACACAUUACUUUCACUUCUAAUUCCAAGAAAUCAUGUGGUCCAGUGGAAGGACUGAGGUGGUGAAGUGCUCUAGAGCCGGAUACUGUGAAAGACUAGAGCAAAAAAAGUGCAUGUUUAGAAUGUGAUAUAGCCUCAUGCUGCUGUACACAGUUUGCACUGUAGAGAAAUAUAUUUUAUCUUCAUGGUUUGCACACUGGUUGUAGUUCUCCUAUCCUGAAUGUAUCUAUCUAAAAAAACAUUUGUCUGUUUAUUCACUUCCUUUAGAUCCAUGUUGGAACACAGAGGUCAUUUUCAACAGGGCUCUUAUGUAUAAUGUCAUAUUUUGAUGAAGGGGUGCACUAUAAAGUAAAUGGUUAAACCUACAAUGCUCUUAUAGCUGGCUGAACUAUGAACAUUGUUCCAUUUGACAAAAACAUUCAUACUUUUAUCAAUGACCUUUUUGACCUUCCUCUUUGUUGUCUGUUUAAAAUCAGUGGCACACAAGAUGAAAUACUACACAGUUGAGACUGGCAAUACUUUGGAUUCUCACAUUCAGUUUAUGAGACGACUCAACAACACCACAAGGUGUUUUACGGAAGUCAAGUCUCCAGAGGAGAGUGAUGUCAUCAUGGCUUUCUGUCCCAUCGUCUCUCGCGCCGGGACUGAUAUUGAUGCAGCACUGCAACAGAUUCCAAAGGGUAAAGAUGUCAUUCUGGUAGUGCUGCAUCACACCUUCAACCCAGACGACACUGUACCUUACAGCAGCAGACUAGUGACCAGAAGUGAUGUAAUACUCACAGUGGACUGUCUGUUCCAUGAGAGACUGGGAGGACUACUGGACUGUCCUCGCAAUGAUGCAGCAGUCAGAAAUAUUAGGCAGAAGUUUGACACAGUGGACUGUCUGUUCCAUGAGAGCCAGGGACUACUGGACUGUCCUCGCAAUGAUGCAGCAGUCAGAAAUAUUAGGCAGAAGUUUGACAUAGAUCCUAUGGCCAGAAAUUGUGACUGUCUAGCUUGGAUUCUAAACGCUGCCAUGGGGUUACUGUCUUUAUGCCGCAACUGCCCUUGUAUGGUGUUUUCUUACAUGAUGGGGCUCAUCUCAGGCAAAAAUCCAUGUCCCUUUGCAAGACCUCAUUCCAGAAAUGAAGACUAUUUACAUUUGGCCCAACUAUGAACAUGUGAUAAUAUAUAGUGUGACUCCUGUAAACGUGAUGAUCAAUUCCCUUAGAGAACAAAUGUUAUGGAUUACAUCUUUAAUUGCAUGUCAUUUAGGCCUACUUGAGAAAGUACAGAUAAUUUACAGUGGUAAUGUAUGGAAUUAGGCCUGGCUGUAUCAAUGUAACAAUAAUAUGGAAAUAAAAAAGAAACUGGAUUUGUGGAAGGGCA